AUCUGCCUGGCUCCCUGUAUGCCAUGUAAGAAGCUUGUUAAAAGAAAUUGACAACAUUUUUAUAUGACAUAUGGGGAGUCAUGCAGGU
rfam:Cajanus cajan CcLG08_960, whole genome shotgun sequence.